CAGUGGCAGACUGAGAAAUCUCUGCAGGCAAAUGUGAUGUCAGUGAAGAAAUCACACACUUACCUGUAGAGAUUCUUCAGUCUGUCAAG
rnacentral:pre_miRNA from 1 species